rnacentral:lncRNA from 1 species
AGAAAAUCACAGAAAUUGGAGGAAGAUGGAAUGAAUUUCUCUUAUUUGAACGAGUAUGGGUUAGCAUUAUUAGAUUUAAACCAACAAACUGAAUCAGAUUCACACAUGUUUGGUUUUUCAGUUCAGUUGUUUAUUUUUACAAUUUGCUUUUCCAAGUAUAUUUUCAUUAUUUCCAUUAGGUUAUGUUUUUACAAUUAAAAGUUGAAUCAAUCAGACCAACUGAAUAUGUAUCAUUUAAUAAAAACUGAAACUGGUGCAGAUGUUCAGUUUGGUUUCGCUUCUAAGAAGUUUCAAUUUAUUCAGUUUUGUUAAAUUCCAAACUGAAUCACAAUAAUAUCUCUUACUUUUGACAGAUAACAUUUAACGGGAGGAUAAUUUAGUAGUUAUAUUGAGCUUCUCUUCACUUCUACCAAAAUUUGGGGUAGAAAGUUUUGUGGAUCCCACAGGAGCAUUGUAAGUGCAUAACUUUUCUUCAUGUAUUUUCCAUCUCUUCCAAACAAGUUAUCAUUUUAUCCUCCCCUUCUUCCUCUCCCCGCUUUUAUUCCUUCCCAAAUAUAGUGUUAACAAUUAUGAUUAUCCCAUUUGAGAUUGUUAAGCUUCUCUUCACUUUUACCCUAAUUUGGGGUAGAAAGUUUUGUGGGCCCUACGUGCAAGUAUAUUUUCAUCAUUUCCAUUAGGUUAUGUUUUUACAAUUAAAAUUUGAAUCAAUCAGACCAACUGAAUAUGUAUCAUUUAAUAAAAACUGAAACUGGUGCAGAUGUUCAGUUUGGUUUCCCUUCUAAGAAGUUUCAAUUUAUUCAGUUUUGUUAAAUUCCAAACUGAAUCACAAUAAUAUCUCUUACUUUUGACAGAUAACAUUUAACGGGAGGAUAAUUUAGUAGUUAUAUUGAGCUUCUCUUCACUUCUACCAAAAUUUGGGGUAGAAAGUUUGGUGGAUCCCACAGGAGUAUUGUAAGUGCAUAACUUUUCCUCAUGUAUUUUCCAUCUCUUC